UUCAAUUUGCAGCUGGGGAAAAUGAUUUACUGUGGAGUACGAAGGGAACAAUUCUGAAAAACAACGAUUUUAUUUGGCUUCUUCAACAAGUAUUUUUACCAUAGGAAAUUCUUAGACACUAACAAAAAAUAAAUAAAAAAAUAAAAAACGCCUCAGAGAAGAACUUGCCCGAAGUGUAACUGAUUAUGUUGGACUGUUACAAAUGCCCUUAUUAAAUAAUUGCAUUUAAACCACAUGAUAGCCUUAUAAUUGAUUGAUAAAAACAAAAUUGUGAAAGUUUAAGUGACAUAAUUGUUCUCAGUAUCACUACAAUUUUCAAAUGAGGCAAUUUUGCCUUAGAAGCAAUUUCGCUUUUCACUGGGAUGUUAUUUUGGUGUCAGGCUGCCAGCUUUUGUUCCAGGAGCUGGGAUAACCCCUUCCUCUCCUUGGCUGAGGCAAGGAUGCAUCUUGCUAACACAGCAAGCCUUCGAAGUUUGCUGCAAAUCCCAGUGCGUUAUAAGAGGAGGGGUUUACAGCCUCCGAUAGUUACACAAUUUCCAUGUAAGGAAAUGUGGUAUCUGCUGCAUGUGGAGGGGGAAAUGUAAAUCACUCUCGAUCGCUUGUAAAUGUCAAGAACAAAGUGUCUCCUAUGUGAAGAUAUUGAUAACUAAUGAUGAGAGUACAUUUUAGUUUCUUAAAAACUACAUCCUCGCAAGAAAUAAUUUAGUUUGGUUUCUCAGGCACAUCUUCGUGGAAUGUUGAUAUAAGGCAUAUGAAGAGAUCUGAAUUUCCAUGUAUGUGGAUAAAAGAUCUCGGAGCACUGAGCUAAUGCAGAUAAAAGUCCUACCAUUAGCCGUCCUUUUGUUUUGUUCCCACAAACUAAAGUUUCAUACGAAUAAUGCCUCUGUAUAGCACACAAAAUGGCCAAGGCAUAUUCUAUACUCGUAAUAAGAGCUAGGCCUGAGAUGUCUCAUUUCAGUCUUGCUGAUAGCAUUUAUCAGCAGAAUCUGGCUAAAAGCAGAAUAUGCAACUUAAGCCUGAUCAUCACUGGGCUGCACAGGAAGAAAGUGGAGGAUUAUCUGGAGACUGGGAACACAAAUAUAAGAUUGUAUUGUCAUUGUGUGCUAUAGGCCUUUUGGCAAACGGUAGUGUAAGCCCCGGCUGACAGGCCUUUUCACAACUGACAGAAGAAAAUAUGAAACUUAAAUUCUUCAUGACAGAUAAAUCUGCUGAAUGAAUGGAAAACCAACAGGAGAACAGUGGGACCAAGAAAAAAAAAUUGGCUGCCGUCGGGUAACUCCCUUAUAGCUGCUGCUUUUGUAAAUAUACAAAGUAGGUAUUCACUGAAUAUCUCCUAAACUCCUACCUAUCAACUUUGCUAAGCAAGCUGUUAAGUUGGAAUAAUAAAAUAAGCAUAUUUUUUUCCAACACAGGAAUACAAAGUCUUAUAAAGCAGGGGGCAGAUUAAAUUUAAUAUGGAGGCAUGAAAGACAUUUCCGGGAUGACUAUCAACCGGGGUGGAUUUUGUGAACCAAAGUUGACGUGUUACUAUUGUAGAAGGAUUAUUAAUUGAGAUAUUAAAUGUACCUAAUCCACCGUGAUUGAGAUCUUUGUCAAAUUUUUAAAAAAGUAUAACCAUAAGUAAUUGCUCUCUUCUGUCAGUGGGCCAAGUCGAAAAAUAUGUUACCAAGAGUCUCUCAGGACAAAUAUCACUAGUCUUUUCAUUGAGGAUGCAAAGCUUUCAUCUUUUUCAAAGUACCGGACCACCAGGGACCUUGGGGGUCUUUGAUUUUCCCGUGCUUGUUUGAUACCGGCAUAGUUUUAUUUCAUCUUGAUUCACUAUACUAAAUGUGUCCAAUCCCAGUGACAACCUUUGGGGAAAUUACCUUAAAUCAUGGAAAGCCAGAUUAAACUGAAAAAACAAAACAACAGAAAAAAAAAUUUCCGUAUGGUCUUAAAUCCCGGAGUGCAACCUGUCUGCCUUCAGCAUCUCCUGAAGGCACCUCUGUGAGCAGCCUCAUCUGAGGAAAGGAGGGAUUCCCACAAGCUCCUUCAACAGGCUGUUCUUUAUUAGGGAAUGCUUGGCACUUUGGCAAACCCCUGGUCAAGUUGAUAGACAAUGUCUUGUUGACAACGCCUGAGGCAAGUUUCAGGGCCUACAAGCCAAUCUUCCUCAAAACUGUCACUUUCCCUGGUUGCCAUGACAAUGCUCGGCUAAUCUCCAGCAAGAAAACUAAGAAUAAGAAGGGGGAAAAAAUGAAUAGGAGAAAGGAAAGAUGAAACAGAUAAGAAAACUGAGGGCCAUUUUUCUCUCUGACUUCAUGGCCUGACCAGACUAGUGUGGGCUCCCUUCCUCAGCCAGACAGCCUUGGAAUGUCUGGCAGCAGGAGUAGGCUAGACUCUCAGGCCUCGGGAAUCAUGAAGGCCUCAGCAGGAGGAAGAAAGACAGUAAGGGCUAGAGUUAGAGAGACCAUGAAAAGGAGGAGGAGGAACAGAGGGGCCAGCCAGCAGUCUGAGAGAAGAAUUCAGGCGCCACGGUGUAACUAGUCUCAGGUAUGCUAGCUAGUCUCAGCUCGUUCCCAGCUCUCACUGGCAAGCCCCAGGCUCCAUCACACACACACACACACACACACACACACACACACACACACACACACACACACAGAGCAAACGCUGUUUGUUGUGCAGAAGUUGUUGCCCUGUCUACAAAACUGUGUUCCAGAUUCUCAAUGAGAAAGCAGAGCCUGCUGGGUGCUGCUUUUUGUAAUUGUGGUGAAAUUGCCUAAGACCUUGGUAAAUAGCAAAAUCUACUCAAAUACAAAGGGAUUUAACCUGCUCUAAAGAUUAUUAUGUUCUAUAAUGUAGGAUUAAAAUUACUUCCAAAGUUAUUAGAGAAAAUCAACAUUAGCACUUGUCUGCCUAUAAAAAAGCAAACCACACGCUCACAGAGGUGCAGCAUUUAUACAGCAAUUAUCUAAAUGUUACUACUCGGGAUAAUAAGGAUGCUGGAUGUUUUCAUAGUAUAUUUCUUUCUCAAAGAAUUCAAUUAUCUGCACUUCCCAGAUCCCGCCAUCCCUGUCACCAGUCCUGCGUGAGCUAUGCAGGAGGCAAGGAUCAUUAAUUAGAAGAUAGGUAACUGGGACACAGAGAGGCAUGCAAAAUCACGCAGUAAGGAAAUAGCAAUCCUCAAUUAGCCAUAUAUAAAGUCGGGGUUUGCUAUCUAAAUGAAGCGUCUUUCCCCAUCCUUAUCUUGAUUCUCUUCCUUUCAGGGCCUCUUUCCUGAACUUUGGGUGUAGUCUUUUCCUCGGCACUUGCUCCUUGGGCUGUCCAUUUGUAGUCCCAGAUCUUCCCUGAUAUAUUAUUCUUGAGACCUGGGACUUGCUCAAUUUCGUAUCCGCCGUGCCAGUUGGUACUUCUUAAACAGCUGUGAGAUGAAUGAAUGAAAUUCAGAGGAAGGAAGUCUUUAAAGAAGAAUUUAUGAUAAAAUAAGAAGUGUGAAUUUAGACUUUAACUCUGUCUCAUCUGGUUUUUACCUUUGCUGUGACAAACAUGUCCACCUCACAGGCUUUCCUGUAAGAAAAUUCACUGAAUGCAUUUACAGCUAAUUCUUUUCCUGCCUGGGUUGUUGGGCUUAUUGUUUGGAACAAUAAACUUAGACUUGUGGAAAUACCAGUGCUCUAAAUGGUCUAUUGUAAUUAUUUUCUUCCUAGCUUUCUCUUUUUGAUAUUUAAAGGAAAGCAUUUAGGUGUGGAGGUUGGGGGAAGUGUUAAUAUAUAGUUAUUAUGCUGUCCCCAAAACCUUUUCCUCGAGUAGUGAAUUUUCAUGCCAGACUGUUAUUUGGGAGGGGGUAUAAACCCCAAAAUAACAAUAGGAACAAUGAUUGCUCUUUGAGGAGACUACAAAUUUAACUCUCUUCUGUACAUUUUUUUUCAGUGAUCGAUACAAAAAAAGCAAGGAAGUACAAGCAAAAGUGUGGCCUGAUCCUCAGCAAAUAUCAAGACACAAUAGAAUCGUACACAACAACCACCUUCUCUGAGAGCCGAGUAAAACAGGGAGCUUGGCUCAGAUUGUUCUCUAAGGGAAUAACAGGCGCAUGAAGGAACAUUCUUGAUCAACUUUCUGUCUUCUGCCAGUAGACAAACAAUAAAUGUUUGUAGAAACUGGAAAUAAAUAUAACAUAGACAGACUUCA